GACACCUAUGCAAUUCAGCUGUUGUCACUUUCAACAGAGAUACAAAGAUCUUGAGUUUGCAAACUGAAGUGAUCUUGGUAUGUGGGGAAGCUCGAUAUCUUCUUCACUGUAACUAGAUCAUAGCAAGAUGACAGAUUGGAGUGAGGGGACAGUGCAGAACUAUGCAAUAAGAAGCUUGGAGCCAGGUAUGAAAAAAUCAUCAGGAUCAUACCAAACCCCAGAUACGUGUCCCACUAUCAGCCGGAAAGGAACAAAGGAGCAUUGUGCAGCAGAUGACAGAUAGCAGAAACUGACAACAGACCGUAUCAUACUCUGUUGAUGAAAUCACAGAUGAGAUGGGCAGGCCAUGUCACCAGAAUGUCAGAUGAGCAACUGAAAGAAAAAGAAGAUCUGUUAUGGUGAGCUAAAGUGGGGGAGCCCUCUCAAGGAGGCCAGAAAAAAAAACAUUUCAAGGACGCCCUCAAGUUAUACUGACCUAGAGUUUUGGGAAGAUCUCAUUCAUGAUCCUUCUACCUGGUGAAGUCUCAUCCUUAUUGGAGCUAUCGUCUAUGGGUAAAGGAGAACUGCUGAGGUAAAGCAGAAGUGCCAGCAGCAUAAAUAUCACAACAGCAGCAUACCCACUCUUAAUCAAGAAAGCCAUAGUGGAAUCUCUUGUUCGGUGUGGCACAGACCAUUCAAAGCUCAAAUUCUCCUGAUCAGCUACUCACAUGUUCACAGAAA